AGAGAUGAAGUUCUUGAAUACAUGAAGAGAUCCCAAAUCCUUUGCCGAAAGCUCAUGAGUGCUCUCAUGGAGAAUCUGAACGUGAAGGAAAUAGAUGAAACAAAAGAAUCUCUUCUAAUGGGAUCUAAAAGAAUCAACCUCAACUACUAUCCAAGAUGUCCGAAUCCUAAUCUUACUGUCGGGGUUGGCCGCCAUUCUGAUGUUUCAUCUCUCACUUUCCUCCUCCAAGACGAAAUUGGUGGACUUUACGUGAGAGUGAAUGAAGGCAAAGGGGAAAAAGAUGGCUGGGUUCAUGUUCCUCCCAUUGAAGGAUCUCUUGUGAUAAAUGUUGGAGAUGCAUUGCAGAUACUCAGCAAUGGUCGAUAUAGGAGCGUAGAGCAUUGUGUGAUUACAAGUGGAAGCAAGAACAGAAUUUCAAUCCCCAUUUUCGUAAAUCCAAAGCCAAGUGAUGUGAUCGGUCCAUUGCCUGAACUGAUCGCCGCCGGAGAGAAGCCGAAAUAUAAAGAUAUUCUUUACUCUGAUUACGUCAAGCAUUUCUUCAGGAAGGCUCAUGAUGGCAAGAAGACUGUUGCUUUUGCUGAGAUCUCAUCGUAAUACUAUAAUUAAACAUCAUUUUUCUUUGUAAUAAAUAAUUGUUUGAACCAUAAUUUCUUCUUCUUCUUUUUUUUUUUUUUUUUUUGGGUUUUAUGUAAUUUGCUUAAUAUUUUUGUAAUUAUCUUUCAUCUAUUUAAGAUGUGUCAAAUGUAUCGUCCAAGAAUAAUUAUCUUUCUAAUUCGUUUAAGAGCUCUUCCUCAGUAAUUUUUCUUUUAGUUUUAUACUAAUAAUAAUUAUACUUAUUGACCCUAAAAAGAGUACAUAAUUUAUUUUUGUUUCUUUCAAUAUAAAAUCAUGUAUACCCAAUAAUUAAUUAUUUUUAACAUAAAUCAAUUAAGAAAAAGAAAAAUAAAUACAUAGCCUGGUGAGAAAAAUAAAGAAGUAUUUAUUUACAAAUUAAUUAUGUAUAGAAUAAACUAGUAACAGCUAAACGAAUAAUUUACCUUUCACGUUUUAUUAAAAUAUUGUACUAAUAUUUUAAUAGUUAAAUAUUAAUUUUUAUAAGCACGGUGCGGAAUAUAUAAUUAUUAUAAUAUUACUUUUAUAUAAUAGAAAAAAAUAUUUUAUUGCUAUUUAUGGGACAUGGACCAUGCUAAUCCAUCAAUGCUGUCAUUCGGCCUGUGACUAAAGCCGAACUGACUUAAGAUUUGAAUUUAUUAGCAGAGAGUCUAGUACCUGUAACGGAACAUGGAGUAGGAAAGCAGACCCGAUUAUGAUAUAGUCUUAUCAAUAUGCAUGCAUUAAUAAAAUUAAAUGGCCAUUUGACGAAAAAGACAAGCGAAUACAUUCAUAUAUAUGAAUUUUCAUAAUAAAAAUAGAUAAUAUUAUAGUAGAGUGGCGAUUAUAAAUCAUUAAAAAAUAAAAAAAAAAAUAAAAAAAAAUAUAUGAUCUUCUCAGAUCAAAUUUAUACACUCUUAUAAAUCCUAUUUUCUCUUAAUCUUUUAACAUUACUGAUAUAAGUGGCAGAGAAUAGCACCUUCUCCUACUACUCUCCAUUUAUUAGAUGAUUUUCCAUAAACUUCUAAAAAAUGAGGUUUUCUCUCCAUUUCGCUCCUUUAAGAAGCCACUGUAGGGCGUCAAUCAGCUAAUUCACACGGCCUAAAUCUUGCCUCACGCUACUUUUUUAUUUUUUGAAUUAAAAUUAAGUAAAAAAAUUUAUUUUAUUAAAAUAUAUUUUUCAUUUUUUAAAAUAAAAAUUAUUUUUCAUAAAUAAAUAAAAAUAUUAGUAGUGCAAUCAUACAAUUCUAAAUAAGAAAAAUGGCAGGAGAGGAAAGUGAGAAAAGGAUUUUGGUUCCUGUCCUUUCAAUACUUUUGUUUAAUUAAGUUUUUGAAGCAUUUUGAUUCUAUAAAUAAAAUAUAUUAAAAUUUUAAUAUAAUUUAUAUAGUUAUAUAAAAAUUCAUAUUUUAUCCCUUAAAUUUUCAAGUAAACUAAACAUGUUUAUUUUUUGAACAAUCAAAGAUAAGAUAUUAAAAAUAUUAGUUUAUCUUAAUUUUUUUAUUUUAAAAAAUCAAAGAUAAGAUAUUAAAAUGUUAUUUUCAAAUAUAGAAGUAGAAUAGUUACAUAUACUAUCAGGCUGCUUUGAGAAAUGAAAGUGGAGAAAUGAAGGUAAGAACAAUUCUUGUAAGAAUUGGCGAUGUGCCUUAUUGACUAUUAGACCAGUCAAACAUUGUGAAACACAGCCAAUCGCAGAAGCAACGAAAAUUCAUAAUGGGGUUGGUGAGCUCUUACUAUUAUGUAUAUUAAAACAAAAAAUAACAUUCUUCACAUGUGAUUUAAUCAUCAACAAGCAUCUAUAAAUAGGCUUUGGAUGAUCUGCUAAUGAGCAACCCACAGCAAUCUUUUCCAUUCUCUCUUCAAUCUGUGCUCUCAUUUCCUCCCUAUCUCAAACAAUAUUACCUGUGAGGUGAAAGUCUUGAUAAUCAAAUCAAUGGCUCCAACAAUGGCAGUAUCAUCAGCUGAUCCCUUUGAUCUCACUGAUUUUGUCAUAAACAAAGGGAAUGGAGUGAAGGGUCUUUCUGAUUUGGGCAUCAAAAGCCUUCCUUCUCAAUAUAUUCAACCCCAAGAAGCAUUGAUCAAUAUCAUCCCACAACAAUCCAUUCCCGUCAUUGACAUGUCUAACUGGGAAACUGAUCCCAAAGUCGCUGAAUCAGUCUGCGAAGCUGCUCAGCAAUUUGGCUUCUUUCAGCUGGUUAACCAUGGCGUGCCACUUGAGGUACUCGAUGGAGUCAAGGACGCAACACAUCGUUUCUUUGGUUUACCAGCAGAGGAGAAGAGGAAAUAUUCCAAGGAGCUUUCUUCUACUAACAGCGUCAGGUUUGGAACCAGCUUUAGUCCUGAUGCAGAGAAAGCUCUUGAAUGGAAGGAUUAUCUCAGCCUCUUUUAUGUCUCUGAGGAAGAGGCUUUUGCAUUAUGGCCCAAUGCUUGCAGAGAUGAAGUUCUUGAAUACAUGAAGAGAUCCCAAAUCCUUUGCCGAAAGCUAAUGAGUGCUCUCAUGGAGAAUCUGAACGUGAAGGAAAUAGAUGAAACAAAAGAAUCUCUUCUAAUGGGAUCUAAAAGAAUCAACCUCAACUACUAUCCCAGAUGUCCCAAUCCUAAUCUUACUGUCGGCGUAGGCCGCCAUUCUGAUGUUUCAUCUCUCACUUUCCUCCUGCAAGACGAAAUCGGUGGACUUUACGUCAGAGUGAAUGAAGGCAAAGGGGAAGAAGAUGGCUG
rnacentral:lncRNA from 1 species